GUCUACGGCCAUACCACCCUGAACGCGUCCGAUCUCGGCUGAUCUCGGAAGCUAAGCAGGGUCGGGCCUGGUUAGUACUUGGAUGGGAGAGAGUAGGUAAGGCAGAGA
rnacentral:rRNA from 1 species